rnacentral:lncRNA from 1 species
GGUUGUUAGCUUUGCCAUGCUGAAUAGAACUUGGUAGAAGUCGAGUGAUUUCCUCUCACUCACGAGAUAUAGGACCUUUUGAUACUUAUGCCAAGGUUAAUUGAGAAUGAAUCACAUGAGAAAGGAAAAAAUGGAGACCGGGUGGGGAAUUAUGUUGGUCUUAUGAACGAUGAGGAUAUGAGGAAUGGUACUUGGUGUCCCCGCCUAUGUUGAUUAAGGCCGAUUCGUUGUUGGCUCCUUGAUCAAGUUUUGAACGUACUAAUCACAUAGUGGUAUAGGGAACCCAGUAAAACCUAGUACUUGACUCGCGUCGGAAAUUUGAACUGUGGAGGGUUUGUAGUUGCCCACGGGACCCAAAGGCCUGCAACCUGGGGUAGCGCGUUGGGGACUCUCACCUGAGUUUGGCAGACACGGAUCAGAUAUUUGGGGCGAAGAUGGGAACCGUUGCC